rnacentral:rRNA from 1 species
GGCACUACGGUGCUGAAGCAACAAAUGCCCUGCUUCCAGGAAAAGCCUCUAAGCAUCAGGUAACAUCAAAUCGUACCCCAAACCGACACAGGUGGUCAGGUAGAGAAUACCAAGGCGCUUGAGAGAACUCGGGUGAAGGAACUAGGCAAAAUGGUGCCGUAACUUCGGGAGAAGGCACGCUGAUAUGUAGGUGAAGCGACUUGCUCGUGGAGCUGAAAUCAGUCGAAGAUACCAGCUGGCUGCAACUGUUUAUUAAAAACACAGCACUGUGCAAACACGAAAGUGGACGUAUACGGUGUGACGCCUGCCCGGUGCCGGAAGGUUAAUUGAUGGGGUUAGCGGUAACGCGAAGCUCUUGAUCGAAGCCCCGGUAAACGGCGGCCGUAACUAUAACGGUCCUAAGGUAGCGAAAUUCCUUGUCGGGUAAGUUCCGACCUGCACGAAUGGCGUAAUGAUGGCCAGGCUGUCUCCACCCGAGACUCAGUGAAAUUGAACUCGCUGUGAAGAUGCAGUGUACCCGCGGCAAGACGGAAAGACCCCGUGAACCUUUACUAUAGCUUGACACUGAACAUUGAGCCUUGAUGUGUAGGAUAGGUGGGAGGCUUUGAAGUGUGGACGCCAGUCUGCAUGGAGCCGACCUUGAAAUACCACCCUUUAAUGUUUGAUGUUCUAACGUUGGCCCGUUAUCCGGGUUGCGGACAGUGUCUGGUGGGUAGUUUGACUGGGGCGGUCUCCUCCUAAAGAGUAACGGAGGAGCACGAAGGUUGGCUAAUCCUGGUCGGACAUCAGGAGGUUAGUGCAAUGGCAUAAGCCAGCUUGACUGCGAGCGUGACGGCGCGAGCAGGUGCGAAAGCAGGUCAUAGUGAUCCGGUGGUUCUGAAUGGAAGGGCCAUCGCUCAACGGAUAAAAGGUACUCCGGGGAUAACAGGCUGAUACCGCCCAAGAGUUCAUAUCGACGGCGGUGUUUGGCACCUCGAUGUCGGCUCAUCACAUCCUGGGGCUGAAGUAGGUCCCAAGGGUAUGGCUGUUCGCCAUUUAAAGUGGUACGCGAGCUGGGUUUAGAACGUCGUGAGACAGUUCGGUCCCUAUCUGCCGUGGGCGCUGGAGAACUGAGGGGGGCUGCUCCUAGUACGAGAGGACCGGAGUGGACGCAUCACUGGUGUUCGGGUUGUCAUGCCAAUGGCACUGCCCGGUAGCUAAAUGCGGAAGAGAUAAGUGCUGAAAGCAUCUAAGCACGAAACUUGCCCCGAGAUGAGUUCUCCCUGACUCCUUGAGAGUCCUGAAGGAACGUUGAAGACG